GCAAACGUGAUAUAUGUAUACAAAGAGGAAGAUGUCAACCUCCCUAGUGGUUUUCUACAGGAAGUCUUAAAAGUCUCAGGUCUCCUGACCACCACUGUUGCCCCAACAACAACUACCAGCACCACACCACUUCCUACCCUUUUGCUGACCAUUCCUUUCAAUACCACAAGUGUUGGAGGUUUUCCUGGCUGGGCUUUGGCCAUUAUCAUCCCUUGUGGCAUCGCUAUCAUUCUGGUACCCCUGUGGAUCCUGCUAUGUUGCAUGCUAUGUGGCUGCUGUGCAGCUGUAAGGAGACGCUGGCACAGACGAAGAUCAUACAAUGUACAGUACACCACCAGAAACGGCCUCUUCUGAGGUGACAACACUAACAUCGGUGGGCAACUGUCAUCACAACAGCUAAUUAUCUAUCUAUCUAUAUCUGCUAAUCAGGAGACUUCAGUGGGGACUUGCAUAUAUUUUUUAUCAUAAAAAUAACAUUCAUAAUAGGCUUAAUAGGCCACAUGUUUGCUGUGCAUUGUAUUAUACAUCUGAUUGUUAAUCAAAAUUACAGCUGAUCUGAACAGUAUGUACACUAC